rfam:Brassica oleracea var. oleracea cultivar TO1000 chromosome C4, whole genome shotgun sequence
AGAAAAGAAACUGUUUCUUAACUUUUAACUAAAAAAUCUAAGAACAGGUUCUUAAAUAAGGACUUUAAGAAUCAGUUCUUAGCUUUUUUAGUUAAAAAUUAAGAAACAGUUUCUUAACUUCC